UCACCGAAGUCAAGCAUCAUUGGGCGCGGUCAGUACUUCGGUGGGUGACCAUCUGGGAACACCGCGUGCCGUU